rnacentral:rRNA from 1 species
GAUGAACGCUGGCGGCGUGCCUAAUACAUGCAAGUAGAACGCUGAAGCUUGGUGCUUGCACCGAGCGGAUGAGUUGCGAACGGGUGAGUAACGCGUAGGUAACCUGCCUCUUAGCGGGGGAUAACUAUUGGAAACGAUAGCUAAUACCGCAUAAAAGUCGAUAUCGCAUGAUAUUGAUUUGAAAGGUGCAAAUGCAUCACUAAGAGAUGGACCUGCGUUGUAUUAGCUAGUUGGUGAGGUAACGGCUCACCAAGGCGACGAUACAUAGCCGACCUGAGAGGGUGAUCGGCCACACUGGGACUGAGACACGGCCCAGACUCCUACGGGAGGCAGCAGUAGGGAAUCUUCGGUAAUGGGGGCAACCCUGACCGAGCAACGCCGCGUGAGUGAAGAAGGUUUUCGGAUCGUAAAGCUCUGUUGUAAGAGAAGAACGAGUGUGAGAGUGGAAAGUUCACACUGUGACGGUAACUUACCAGAAAGGGACGGCUAACUACGUG